rnacentral:rRNA from 1 species
CGCAAUGGGCGCAAGCCUGACGGAGCAACGCCGCGUGAGGGAUGAAGGCCUCUGGGCUGUAAACCUCUUUUAUCAAGGAAGAAGAUCUGACGGUACUUGAUGAAUAAGCCACGGCUAAUUCCAUGCCAGCAGCCGCGGUAAUACGGGAGUGGCAAGCGUUAUCCGGAAUUAUUGGGCGUAAAGCGUCCGCAGGCGGUUUUACAAGUCUGUCGUUAAAACGUGGAGCUCAACUCCAUUUCGGCGAUGGAAACUGUAAGACUAGAGUGUGGUAGGGGCAGAGGGAAUUCCCGGUGUAGCGGUGAAAUGCGUAGAUAUCGGGAAGAACACCAGUGGCGAAGGCGCUCUGCUGGGCCAUAACUGACGCUCAUGGACGAAAGCCAGGGGAGCGAAAGGGAUUAGAUACCCCUGUAGUCCUGGCCGUAAACGAUGAACACUAGGUGUCGGGGGAAUCGACCCCCUCGGUGUCGUAGCCAACGCGUUAAGUGUUCCGCCUGGGGAGUACGCACGCAAGUGUGAAACUCAAAGGAAUUGACGGGGGCCCGCACAAGCGGUGGAGUAUGUGGUUUAAUUCGAUGCAACGCGAAGAACCUUACCAGGGUUUGACAUCCUGCGAAUUCCUUGGAAACUUGGAAGUGCCUUCGGGAGCGCAGUGACAGGUGGUGCAUGGCU